GCAGGUUUCCCUCAGGAACGGCAACUUUCCCAUAGAGAGGGCCGGGGGGAGAGCUGGUGCCGGUCCGGUGACAGGAUAACCCGGCCGGCGUGUGGUAGAGGUCACCCUGAAGAGGGGAUACUGCAUGAAUGUGCAGGAAUGAACCUGGUCUCAAAGCCUGAAAACACCCUGCUUGCUAAAGAACUCUUUAGCAGGUACAGCAGAAUGGAUGUGUGCAGAUCUCCUACCAGACCUUCUGUGACAGGAACAUUUCACAUGGAAAAUGAAAUGCCUCUCUCUGGAGGCUCACAGGAAUUCUUCACUGCCAUGGCCUUUUCUCAUUGAACCAGUUACCCCUCUUGCACUGCUGUAUUUCUACUGCUCAUCUGAUCAGGCGUCAUUUUUGCUCAUGAAUAUGAGCUAAAAAGCUAAAAUGUCAGCUCUGCUACACUGCUUAAAGAUCUUCUUAAAAUAGCUCCAUUUAAAUUUUAGACCCUUUUUAUAAACUAGGAGUGCUGUGGCAAUUCAGAUAUCCUUUACAGCCUUCCAAUCUCCUAUGGAACCAUCAAAAAUGUCAUCUGUGGUAGGUCUCACUUCAUGCUUGAUUUCUGCAGGGCUUUACCCUGCUAUUUGCACACAGUAAGGUGAUGGUUUUCUUCCAUAGUGGAUGGAAUAAAUUCCUCAGAACUUUAAUUUAAUUGAGGGCCAGGGGCUGGGGGAAAUGUAGCUGCUGCAACCCCUGUAGUUACUGUGGUCAGAAACACAAUUCUGACUGGUGGUGGAAAGAGUCUGAGUCAGCUAAAACAGUGGACCAAAACAUCGGCAGCGUCAAGUGUUAAGACCUCUUGGUUUUAAAAUAAUAGCCCUUCUGUCUUUGUCUUUUCCUCUCUUUGAGAGGGCUCCACCUUCCAGGAUUCUUAUAUUGUCCAAGUUCCUGAUGUAUGUGGUCCAACCAGGCGUCCAGGGCUUGUCAAUUUGCUCAUAACAUUCAAAGCUUUAGCACCCUUCAUUGUCAAACCUGUCUAACCCUUCUUUGGCUGGAGAGCACCUCUCCCUUCUCCCACACACCUCAAAUGGGCUUUACUGACACACCUGGGAAGUCGGAUGUGGUGGCUGGGGGUAGUGUGGCAUUCCAUGUUUGCAUCCUUUCACAAAAAAAAAUCUUUCACAAGGUCUUAGAUGGGCUGGGUCUGCCUACCUCUACUGACAGAUGCCUUCCCACAGAGCCGGGAAAGCAGGGAGAAGAGAUGGGAAGUGCCUCUCACUUCUUAUUCUAUGAACUCCUAUUUCCCUGUGCAAGGAAGGCAUCCCACCUUCUGCCUUUGUUCACUGCCAUCCCAUGCCUCCCUGCAAGGAGUCUGACUGUACCCAGGCACCGUCAGCCUCACGCUUAGCACAUGCUGGCUUCCUGAUGCCAAACCGCAGCAGCCUGCUGGCCAUCAGGUCGGGAAAGAAGCAGGUUUCUGUUGGCCACCUUUUUCUGCCUGAGAUGGCCGGUGAUGUGGCCGUCCAGCUGAGAGCCAAGUCCAUGCAAUGUGGAAAAGAUGAAAGAUGGAGUUGAACGAAACAAAUAAAGCAUGUCGUGUGAAA